AUUUUACCUUUGCUUCUUCGCCCCCACUCAAAGGAAAUCCUGGCUCCGUCCCUGAAUGGAGAUAAGAACUAUUUAGACCGCACAUGAUUAGACGAAAAAUUCCAUUGGUGAAUGGUUGCUGAUCUGCUAUUGGAAAUUUUCUGUGUACUCCGUGUGAAUUCUAUAUAUUUUUUAAUACUCCGCAUGAAUGAUUCAAGUGGUUUGGGGGCUAUAGAGUUCAUAUGGAGUAUAGAAGCAUGUGUAUGAAUUCUGAAUUCUGUUGGCUUACAUUAAGUCUUGGAAGUGUUUGGUAUUUUUGCAACUUUAUUAACUCUUGCAAGUGUUUUGUCUUUUGAAUUCUGAAUUCUGAAUUCUGUUGCUUCUGUACUCCCUAUGAAUUCUAUAGGGCUCCAAACCACUGGUUCUUUGUCAAAAUCUACAACUUUGGGCAUAUUUGAUAUCAUUCUUAAUAAGCUAAAUGGACUAGUUUUGAUAAAAUAAAAUUAAAAUUUUAAAUUUUUAACCCAGCCCGCUAGUCGCUAGACCCACCACUCCCACCAGCAUGCAUGUGCUGGUUAAGGUUAGAGAAAUUUAGCCUGCGGGUCGGCCAUCAAAUAUCUCAGCCAGCAGUGGGGUGGGCCUGCCCGCAUCGAUACCCUAGUAUCAAACUUCUGCUAAUACACAUGUAUUGAUCUUUUUUUUUUUUUGGGGUCAAAGUUGCCUAUAUUGUACUGUUUCUCAAUCUGUGGAGUGUCUCAAUUUCUGUAAUUGAUUUUAUCUUUGGUCAUUCAAUAGCUGAAGUAGUUAUUUAGUGCCGGCGGAAAUUGUUUAUGGAGAUUUUAAAUCCUAGGACUGCUUUAGGUGUAACUGAAUAAGGAAGCCGAGAAAAUCCUGGAGAUUUCAGUGUUUUUUCAUUUUGCUAGUAUAUUAGGCACAUGCUUAUUAAUUAUCCAAUCAUCCCUGUUGGAAUGCAACUAUGCAAGUAUGCAACUCAUCCAAUAAAUUGUAAUCCAUUCUCAGAGAUAUGAAACUUAAUUUCUCAAUACUUGGACAAAUGGGUUUAAUUGUUUCUGUUCUAUUCUGCAAUUUCUACUGCCUUUGAAGUUGUUUGCAAUCCUAUCGAUCCAUUUUCUGUUUUUUUUUUUUUGUGCAAAUCAUGUCAUCAUGAUAUUAUCAUUAUAUCAUGAUGAAUUUUAUUUUAGUAGAUACUAUCCUGUUCCAUCGCUAAUUUGAAAGGUAUAACUUUUACAGCAAAGGGUAUGCGUUUUGCUGGUCUUCAUUUUACAUGUUUUUCGAUUUGCAAGCGCUGUAAAAAUCUUAAGGAGUUGGUUGCUUCUUCACUCACAUGCCACAGUAAAAGACAAUUAAGACAUAGCAGCUAUGCUACUAGUCCUUUGGAAUACUAUCAUCCAAUUCUUCAAUCAAAUGGUUUACAGAAUCGGUUCAAGAAUUGGCAACAUUUGAGAAAGGGUAAACUGAUGGCAAGUACUUUCAGUCAGGCUAUUGGUUUUUGGCCCCGCCGAAGGGUUCAACUUUGGUUAGAGAAGAUUGGGGCAAUUGAACCAUUUGCUGGAAACUUAGCCACCUGUUGGAGCAACAUCAAGGAAGAGGAAGCUCUUGAGAGAUAUAUGCUUAUUACUGGAAAUCCUGUCUCCUUGCAUGGUUUUCAGGUCCAUCACAAUAUGUACCCAGAAGAUGGCUGGCUUGCAGCUUCCCCUGAUGGAGUAAUCGAUACCUAUGUUCAUGGUUUGCCUUCCCGAGGUGUUUUAGAAAUCAAAUGCCCAUUCUUUGGAGGUGAUAUGACCAAGGCUUGGCCUUGUAGUAGAAUUCCCAUUAAUUACAUUCCUCAGGCACAAGGUUUGAUGGAGAUCUUAGAUCGAGAUUGGAUGGACUUGUAUAUCUGGACUACCAAAGGAAGUAGUUUGUUUAGGUUGAAUCGAGAUAAAGAAUAUUGGCAAGCCUUGGAGAUUGCACUUUCUGACUUCUGGUGGAAGCAUGUGCAACCUGGUAAGGAAUUGUUCAAUUGUUCAGAGAUCACAAAUCCCCUUGUUGAACUAAGAUCACUUAUGCCAGAACCUAGACACGAAUUAUGUAGUUACCUUGUCCAUGAAAGCUUCCGUAUUGUGGUCAAUGACUCUAAGUUGGUGGUGCGUGAAAUUAAUGGUAAACUGCAAAUGUGAUGCUCCAAAGGUGGACAGUCAAAUUCAUUGAACUGGAUAAUUAGAUUCCAAGUCAUGGUAGUCAUUGAUCUGUGCACACUCUUACUAGAGGAGAGGCAGAUUUUAUCAUCUGGGCAAAUCUGAAAUGCUAACUGCACUCUUAGAAUCCUUUAGAUGAAAUGCAUGAGGAUGGGGAACUUGUUACAUGCAGGCAUGAUGUGAAUGUUGUUACAAGCAUUUAUGGUGUACUCCACAAAUUUUCCAUA